rnacentral:ncRNA from 2 species
CGGUGAGCGGGAACGACCGCCGUCAUCCGCACUGGGUCCGAGGUACCGGACCCGGGAAGCGACGGCCAGUAGGUGUCCUCCGAGAAGGAGGGCGUGCCCGCGAGCCCG